CCUACGGGAGGCAGCAGUGGGGAAUAUUGCACAAUGGGGGAAACCCUGAUGCAGCGACGCCGCGUGAGUGAGGAAGUAUUUCGGUAUGUAAAGCUCUAUCAGCAGGGAAGAAAAUGACGGUAGCUGACUAAGAAGCGCCGGCUAACUACGAGCCAGCAGCCGAGGUAAUACGUAGGGGGCAAGCGUUAUCCGGAGUUACUGGGUUUAAAGGGAGCGUAGACGGGAAAUUAAGUCAGAAGGUAAAACCCAGGGCUUAACCUCCGGGGUGCUUUUGAAACUGAGUAGCUAGAGUGCAGGAGAGGUAAGCGGAAUUCCUGGUGUAGCGGUGAAAUGCAUAGAUAUUAGGCAGAACACCAGUGGCGAAGGCGGCUUACUGGACUGUAACUGACGUUGAGGCUCGAAAGCGUGGGGAUCAAACAGGAUUAGAUACCCCGGUAGUC
rnacentral:rRNA from 1 species